rnacentral:lncRNA from 7 species
CUUUUAUGUCUUUUGUCCAGAUCAUCUAGAAACUCCAUUCUAUCUGAACUACAGAAAGUCUAGGGAAGAAAAAAAAAAAACUUUAGCAGGGUAAACUCUGCAACAAGCUUAAAAGAAUUCCAAGAGCAAGAUGUAAAUUCUUCAGCCAAUGGAGUUUGUGGCAUAUAUUCAACAUCUAUUGUUACAACUAAGACAGACUGAUCUGAGCUGAAAAUAUCAAUAACAGGAAUUGCUGGAACAACAUAAGCCUGCUUUGUAUGCACAUCUUGUGCUGCUGGGGAGCCACUCCUACCUCACAAAGCUCAGUAUUGAGUCAGCACUGUGCUGUAACACAGGCAUCUUGCUCCUCCCAGAGAUUUCCCAGGCUGUAUUUCUCUCAUUGCCUUUUCCACUCUGCAUUCAAGAAGUUGAGCUUGCCCUUGGGGAAAGGAACAAUUCCCUAAGGAACAUGAUAGGAAAUAUACGCUGGGCUUAUACAAUAAACUUAGAAAAACACCUUUUUCUUCCAUGACAUAAAAGGAGUAAAGUGCUCAAAAAUAAGGAUCAUUUAAACAUCAAUUUAUAUUUAAGAAGGUUUUAUCAUGUUAAAUAGAAGUUGAGUUUUGGCUACUAUUUUUUCACUAGCUCUAGGAGAGUUUUGUUUGUGCUUUUCAACACAUAGGAGACCUCUUUUCUAAUGUUAAUACUUUACUCUUGGGUUUUACAAUAGCCGGAGUUUACUGUCAAAUAAAAGUCCUUUCU